GAUGAACGCUAGCGGCAGGCUUAACACAUGCAAGUCGAGGGGUAGAAUUUCUUCGGAAAUUUGAGACCGGCGCACGGGUGCGUAACGCGUAUGCAAUCUACCCUUUACUGGAGAAUAGCCCGGAGAAAUUCGGAUUAAUGCUCCAUAUGCUCGUAGGAUCUCCUGAUCCAGCGAGGAAAGCUCCGGCGGUAAAGGAUGAGCAUGCGUCCCAUUAGCUUGUUGGUGAGGUAACGGCUCACCAAGGCGACGAUGGGUAGGGGGCCUGAGAGGGCGAUCCCCCACACUGGUACUGAGACACGGACCAGACUCCUACGGGAGGCAGCAGUGGGGAAUUUUGGACAAUGGGCGCAAGCCUGAUCCAGCAAUGCCGCGUGAGUGAAGAAGGCCUUCGGGUUGUAAAGCUCUUUUGUCAGGGAAGAAACGGUGGAGGCUAAUAUCCUCUACUAAUGACGGUACCUGAAGAAUAAGCACCGGCUAACUACGUGCCAGCAGCCGCGGUAAUACGUAGGGUGCAAGCGUUAAUCGGAAUUACUGGGCGUAAAGCGUGCGCAGGCGGUUUUGUAAGUCUGUCGUGAAAUCCCCGGGCUCAACCUGGGAAUUGCGAUGGAGACUGCAAGGCUAGAAUCUGGCAGAGGGGGGUAGAAUUCCACGUGUAGCAGUGAAAUGCGUAGAGAUGUGGAGGAACACCGAUGGCGAAGGCAGCCCCCUGGGUCAAGAUUGACGCUCAUGCACGAAAGCGUGGGGAGCAAACAGGAUUAGAUACCCUGGUAGUCCACGCCCUAAACGAUGUCUACUAGUUGUCGGGUUUUAAUUAACUUGGUAACGCAGCUAACGCGUGAAGUAGACCGCCUGGGGAGUACGGUCGCAAGAUUAAAACUCAAAGGAAUUGACGGGGACCCGCACAAGCGGUGGAUGAUGUGGAUUAAUUCGAUGCAACGCGAAAAACCUUACCUACCCUUGACAUGUCAGGAAGACCGGAGAGAUCUGGU
rnacentral:rRNA from 1 species